GGUGAGUUUGUUGGCCAGGGGAAGAGCGUCCCAACUGACACUGAUCAAAGGGGAGUUAUGCCCCAGGGGAGAGGCAGAGAGGCACCGGCAGCGAGGGGGCCAUGGAGAGCGAGCACGAGACAGUGAGAGCGAUUUAAUCUCAAGCACAAAGGAGAAUGCUGCUUCAUGGUAGCAUGGCUUAUGUUAGCGAGGUGUCCAAGCCGAGAGAGGCUAAGGGGGGCCAGCAGGGGCGAAAGGCCUUAGAGGCAGAUGGCAGAGCAGGGCGACCACGACGCAGGACUCGGGGGUGAGAGCAACAGAGGGCUCGCUUGCAACAUCAAGAAAGAAGACAAGGCGGCGAAGAAUUUCGGCCGACAUCGAAGGUGCUCCCUGAGAGAGGGAUGCCCAAACGCUUAUGUCUUCGGCAAUCAUAGUAUUAUAGGCGAAGAUAUUGGAGAAAAAAAAACGUGGCUUUGGCAACUAAAAUGUUUAAAGAUACAUGUUCAGUUUGAAGAAAUUACAAUAUCAAAACCAAGAGUCGAAAUCUAAGAAUGAAAAAGCAUAAUAAUAUAUAAAAGAAAUAAGGUGUAAAUGAAAAUGCAUUCAAAAUAAUAACGUAAACAAUCACAUUAAAAAAAAGUUUUAAUAUUAAUGAUGUUUGUACAAUGCGGGAAAAUGGAAAUGAAAUGAAAUUACCGAAUGUAAUAAAAGCUAGUUAGAAUAUAUGUAAUAGCAAAAUAAGAAUUAAAUAAACAAAAGCUAACAGUAAGCCUUAUUGUUAGAAUAAAGCAAGUUGGUAUGA